UGAGUAACGCGUGGGUAACCUGCCCUUAAGUCUGGGAUACCAUUUGGAAACAGAUGCUAAUACCGGAUAAAAGCUACUUUCGCAUGAAAGAAGUUUAAAAGGCGGCGUAAGCUGUCGCUAAAGGAUGGACCUGCGAUGCAUUAGCUAGUUGGUAAGGUAACGGCUUACCAAGGCGAUGAUGCAUAGCCGAGUUGAGAGACUGAUAGGCCACAUUGGGACUGAGACACGGCCCAAACUCCUACGGGAGGCAGCAGCG
rnacentral:rRNA from 1 species